GACGAACCGUGCGAACGUUGUUCGGAAUCACUGGGCUUAAAGGGCGCGUAGGCGGGCGGGCAAGUCGGAGGUGAAAGCCCACAGCUCAACUGUGGAAGUGCCUUCGAUACUGCCGGUCUAGAGGGAGGUAGGGGCGUGCGGAACUUCCGGUGGAGCGGUGAAAUGCGUAGAUAUCGGGAGGAACACCUGUGGCGAAGGCGGCCCCCUGGUUGGAUACUGACGCUGAUACGCGAAAGCGUGGGGAGCAAACAGG
rnacentral:rRNA from 1 species